AUGCGCCGUGCAGUGCUGGGGUGUCUGCGUCGAGCCCUUUUGAACAGACAUCGGCCCCUGCUGGAUCCACGCCUCUCCUCUCUGGCCUGUUGCGCGAAGAGCUUGGACGACGAGGAGGAGCCCAGUCAGCGCUCCGUUGGCGACGAGGAUAGACGCGAGCGUUUUCAUCCCGUGAUCGCACGAGCAGUCCGGACGUCGAGCUGGGGUGAUGCCAGGAAGAUCAGCUUCAGGGAGUGUGUCAGGCUGUAUGGGCUACCCCGGUCGAUCAGGCUGUUUGCGUUGCUUAUGCGGUCGUUCUUGCCACGGAGGAUUAGAGAGGUCCGGUGCCUGAUUCAGAGCGUCGUCGACCACUGCGGGAAUGCCGGGCCGGAGUUGUUUCAGUUGGCGCCUAUGUUGGCUAGCAAUUUGGGUGGCUCGAUGACGUUGCCACAGGUUUAUGCCACAGUCAUCCGGGUCUUUGUGGAGCUGUCGAUGUUUGAGGAUGCUCUUGUCACUUACGUCGAGGCCAAGAAGGUUGGAGUUGAGCUGCAGGUGUGCAACUUCUUGCUGAAGGGUUUGGUUGAGGGGAACCAGAUCAUGUAUGUGAGGAGUUUGUUUGAUGAUAUGAAGAUCUCUGGUCCUUCACCAAAUAUCUACUCUUAUUCAGUUUUAAUGAGUAUGUAUACACAUGGAGCCAAGUUAUGCCUGGAGGAAGCUCAAGAGCUACUUUCUGAAAUGGAAGUGGAAGGUGUCAGGCCAAAUGCUGCAACCUACGGUACUUACCUCUAUGGGCUUUGCCGUGCCAAACAGGUGAAAUCUGCAUGGAACUUCCUUCAAAUGCUGUGUCAGAGAGGCUACCCUUGCAACAGCUAUUGUUUCAAUGCAGUUAUUCAUGGUUUCUGCCAUGACGGUCAGGUUCACAAGGCCGUAGAAGUGUUUGAUGGGAUGAAGAAGUGUGGGUUUGUCCCAGAUGUUCACAGCUACAGCAUAUUAGUUGAUGGCUUAUGCAAACAAGGGGAUGUUUUGACAGGCUAUUACAUGCUCGUUGAGAUGGCAAGGAAUGGGAUCACUCCUAAUCUGGUGAGUUAUAGUUCGCUUUUGCAUGGUCUUUGCAGAGCUGGAAGGGUUGAAUUGGCGUUUGAGCUUUUUAAGAGGCUGAAAGAUCAAGGGUUCAAGCAUGACCACAUAGUUUACAGCAUCGUUCUUCAUGGUUGUUGUCAACAUCUAGAUCUAGAGAUUUGCUAUGACCUUUGGAAUGACAUGGUUCAUCAUAAUUUCGUUCCAGAUGCUUACAAUUACAGCAGUCUGAUAUAUGCAUACUGCAGGCAUAGGCAACUGAAAGAAGCAUUGGAGGUGUUUGAGCUCAUGAUCUGUGAUGGAAUAUGCCCCAACGUUGUGACCUGCACAAUUCUUGUUCACGGCUUCAGCAACGAAGGGCUGAUUGGUGAGGCCUUCCUGUUCCUGGAUAAAGUACGCCAGUUUGGGGUUGUCCCCAACCUCUGUACAUACAGGGUUAUCAUCAACGGCCUGUGCAAGGUCAAUAAACCUAAUGACGUGUGGGGUAUUUUCGCAGACAUGAUAAAAAGGGGCUAUGUUCCUGAUACUGUGCUUUACAGUAUUAUUAUCGAUGGUUUUGUGAAAGCUUUGGAUCUGCAGGAGGCUUUCAGGUUGUAUUAUAAAAUGGUCGAUGAGGGGACAAAGCCUAACAUCUUUACAUAUACUAGCCUCAUAAAUGGUUUGUGCCAUGAUGAUAAACUUCCUGAAGUUAUGACGCUGUUUAAGCAUAUGAUUGGGGAGGGGCUGACACCGGACAGGAUCCUGUACACGUCUCUGAUUGCGUGCUAUUGCAAGCGCUCAAACAUGAAGGCCGCCCUGGAGAUCUUUAGAGAGAUGGAAACAGAGGGUUUGUCAGCAGAUUCUUUCGUCUACACCUGUUUAAUUGGUGGCUUCAGUAAGGUGCUUGCGAUGGAUGGUGCACAGUUGUUUAUGGAAGAAAUGAUGAACAAGGGGCUUACACCUACUGUAGUAACUUACACAGAUCUCAUAAUUGGAUACUUCAAAAUUGGAGAUGAGAAAAAAGCUAUGGUGAUGUACAACAGCAUGCUGCAGGCAGGCAUUGCACCGGAUGCCAAGCUGAGCUGCAUAUUGGGCCUUGGUAACGAUGGGGAUGAUUUUGCUGAUUCUCAGGAAGAAAAGGAUGUAUCGUAG
rnacentral:rRNA from 1 species